GCUUAAGGUGGUGAAAAAACAUGCAGACACACUGAUACACACACACAUUCACAUGCAUCACACACCACACUAAAAUCCUCUGUCUGCAAGAUGCUGAAUAUGCAGAACACACACUUAACCACCCAACUGUAACACAUGAUUAUAACCAGAUGUGAAACUAACACUGGUAGUUUGUGGUUUCCUCAUAACUUCCUCCCUGUCAGGAGACGGCGCCCUGCAUCAGCUACUUCACAACCAGAGAAUACACUCCACUUAUUGAAUGGAACUGUGUUGGUAGUGUUUUGCCUUAUUAGUGUGGUAUUCACCUGUCUGUGAGGGACAAGUAGUACCUGCGAGGGACGGACGUAUUCCUGCUGUGUGGGACAAGUAUUCCUGUCGUGAGAAACAAGUAUCCCUGUCUGUGAGAAACAAUAUUCACGUGUCUGUGAGACAAUUUUCACCUGUCCGGAUGGGGACAGGUAUCACCUGUCUGUGAGGGACGGGAACAGGAUUCACCUCUCUGUGUGGGACAGGUAUUCACCUGUCUGUGAGGGACAGGUAUUUCACCGUCUGGUGAGGGACGGGACAGGUAUUCACCUCUCGGUGUGGGACAGUAUCACCUGUCUGUGUGGGACAGGUUCACCUGUCUGUGAGGGACAGUAUUCACUCUCUGUGUGUCUCCCUCCAGGAGAGGGACAGGUAUUUACCUCUCUGUGUGUUCUCCCUCCAGGAGAGGGACAGGUAUUCACCUCUGUCGUGUGUUCUCCCCCCAGGAGAUGGGACGGUAUUCACCGGUCUGUGGAGGGACAGGUAUCACCCUCAAUGUGUGUUCUCCCUCCAGGAGAGGGACAGGUAUUCACCUCAUGUGUGUUCUCCUCCCUCCAGGAGAGGACAGGUAUCACCUCUGUGUGUUCUCCCUCCAGGAGGGGAUGUAUUACCUCUCUGUUGUUCUCCUCCAGGAGAGGGACAGGUAUUCACCUCUCUGUGUGUCUCCUCCAGGAGAGGGACAGGUAUCACCUCAAUGUGUGUUCUCCUCCAGGAGAGGACAGGUAUUCACCUCUCUGUGCUUCUCCCUCGGAGGAGGGACAGGUAUUACCUCUCUGUGUGUUUCCCCUCCCGGAGAGGGACAGGUAUUCACCUCUCUGUGUGUUCUCCUCCGGAGAGGGACAGGUAAUUACCUCUCUGUGUGUUCUUCCCUCCAGGAGAGGGACAGUGUAUUCACCUCUCUGUGUGUUCUCCCUCCAGAGAGGGACAGGUAUUUACCAUCCUGUGUGUUCUCCCUCCAGGAGAGGGACAGGUACUUCAUCUAUCGUGUGUUCUCCCUCUAGGAGAGGGACAGUAUUCAUCUCUCUGUGUGUUCUCCCUCCAGGAGAGGGACAGGUAUUUACCAUCUCUGUGUGUUCUCCCUCCAGGAGAGGGACAGGUAUGCCUACAAGAUCCACCUGCCAGAGACGGUGGAGCAGCUGAGGAAGUUUAAUUUAAUGCAAGGAGGAAGCUCAAGGGGGCAGUGUUGGCUGCUGUCUCCAGCCACAAGUUUAACUCCUUCUACGGAGACCCACCAGAGGAGAUGCCAGACUUCUCUGAAGACCCCACCUCCAGUAACCCGCCCCUCUCCCCUUCUGUUUGCCUUCCCACGUACAACACCCAUGCCGAGCUGUGUCAGGGGAACGGAUGUCACGGCAACAAUCGCCACGUGUUUGUGUUCCUAGCUCAUUGUCCCACGGGCAGUCCGAAGCACACCCCUGACGA
rnacentral:lncRNA from 1 species